rnacentral:tRNA from 1 species
GCCUUCGUGAUGUAGUGGUCAGCACGCUCGACCCGUAACCGAGAGAUCCGUGGUUCGAUUCCUGGUGAAGGCG